CUUGACAUCCCGAGAAGUCCCCUGGGAAACAGGGGAGUGCCUUUCGGGAACUCGGAGACAGGUGCUGCAUGGCUGUCGUCAGCUCGUGUCGUGAGAUGUUGGGUUAAGUCCCGCAACGAGCGCAACCCUUGUCUUUAAUUGCCAGCAUUCAGUUGGGCACUUUAAAGAGACUGCCGGUGUUAAGCCGGAGGAAGGUGGGGAUGACGUCAAGUCCUCAUGGCCUUUAUGCCCAGGGCUACACACGUGCUACAAUGGGUGGUACAAAGAGAUGCCAACUCGCGAGAGCGCGCCAAUCUCAGAAAGCCAUCCUCAGUUCGGAUUGGAGUCUGCAACUCGACUCCAUGAAGUUGGAAUCGCUAGUAAUCGCGGAUCAGCACGCCGCGGUGAAUACGUUCCCGGGCCUU
rnacentral:rRNA from 1 species